rnacentral:rRNA from 1 species
ACUCCUACGGGAGGCAGCAGUGGGGAAUUUUGGACAAUGGGCGAAAGCCUGAUCCAGCAAUGCCGCGUGAGUGAAGAAGGCCUUCGGGUUGUAAAGCUCUUUUGUCAGGGAAGAAACGGUGAAAGCUAAUAUCUUUUGCUAAUGACGGUACCUGAAGAAUAAGCACCGGCUAACUACGUGCCAGCAGCCGCGGUAAUACGUAGGGUGCAAGCGUUAAUCGGAAUUACUGGGCGUAAAGCGUGCGCAGGCGGUUUUGUAAGUCUGAUGUGAAAUCCCCGGGCUCAACCUGGGAAUUGCAUUGGAGACUGCAAGGCUAGAAUCUGGCAGAGGGGGGUAGAAUUCCACGUGUAGCAGUGAAAUGCGUAGAUAUGUGGAGGAACACCGAUGGCGAAGGCAGCCCCCUGGGUCAAGAUUGACGCUCAUGCACGAAAGCGUGGGGAGCAAACAGGAUUAGAUACCCCGGUAGUCCC